rnacentral:rRNA from 1 species
GACGAACGCUGGCGGCGUGCUUAACACAUGCAAGUCGAACGGAGUGCCCAUGACAGAGGCUUCGGCCAAUGGAUUGGGUUACUUAGUGGCGGACUGGUGAGUAACGCGUGAGCAACCUGCCCUUCAGAGGGGGACAACAGUUGGAAACGACUGCUAAUACCGCAUAAUGUAUUCGGAAGGCAUCUUCUGAAUACCAAAGGAGAAAUCCGCUGAUGGAUGGGCUCACGUCUGAUUAGCUAGUUGGUGAGGUAACGGCUCACCAAGGCUGCGAUCAGUAGCCGGACUGAGAGGUUGAACGGCCACAUUGGAACUGAGACACGGUCCAAACUCCUACGGGAGGCAGCAGUGGGGGAUAUUGCACAAUGGGGAAACCCUGAUGCAGCGACGCCGCGUGAGUGAAGAAGUAUUUCGGUAUGUAAAGCUCUAUCAGCAGGAAAGAUAAUGACGGUACCUGACUAAGAAGCACCGGCU